GUGCUUGCCUCAGCAGCACAUAUGCUAAUAUUGGAACCAUACAGAGAAGACUAGGAUGGCCCCUGCACAAG
ensembl:snRNA U6 U6 spliceosomal RNA